rnacentral:rRNA from 1 species
CCUACGGGUGGCUGCAGUGGGGAAUAUUGCGCAAUGGGCGAAAGCCUGACGCAGCGACGCCGCGUGGGUGAUGAAGGCCUUCGGGUUGUAAAGCCCUGUCGGGUGGAACGAACGAUCUGGCGGCGAAUAACCGCCGGGUGUGACGGUACCACCGAAGGAAGCCCCGGCUAACUACGUGCCAGCAGCCGCGGUAAGACGUAGGGGUCAAGCGUUGUUCGGAUUUACUGGGCGUAAAGCGAGGUUGGGUGGCAAAUCCCUCGGCUUAACCGAGGUCCCGCAUCCGAUACUGUCUGGCUCGAGUCCAGGAGAGGAAAGCGGAAUUCCCAGUGUAGCGGUGAAAUGCGUAGAUAUUGGGAGGAACACCGGUGGCGAAGGCGGCUUUCCGGACUAGUACUGACGCUGAGGCGCGAAAGCGAGGGGAGCGAACGGGACUAGAUACCCUAGUAGUC